rnacentral:rRNA from 1 species
GCGGCAUGCUUAACACAUGCAAGUCGAACGGUAACAGUGCUAGCUUGCUAGCGCUGACGAGUGGCGGACGGGUGAGUAACGCGUAGUGUAUCUGCCCAGUAGUGGGGGACAACCAGAAGAAAUUCUGGCUAAUACCGCAUACGCCCUACGGGGGAAAGAGGGGGACCUUCGGGCCUCUCGCUAUUGGAUGAGCCUGCGUUGGAUUAGCUUGUUGGUGAGGUAAUGGCUCACCAAGGCUACGAUCCAUAGCUGGUCUGAGAGGACGAUCAGCCACACUGGGACUGAGACACGGCCCAGACUCCUACGGGAGGCAGCAGUGGGGAAUAUUGGACAAUGGGCGAAAGCCUGAUCCAGCAAUGCCGCGUGUGUGAAGAAGGCCUGCGGGUUGUAAAGCACUUUCAAUUGGGAAGAAAAGCUUGGAGAUAAUACCUCCGAGUCUUGACGUUACCUUUAGAAGAA